CCUACGGGGGGCUGCAGUGAGGAAUAUUGGUCAAUGGACGUAAGUCUGAACCAGCCAAGUAGCGUGAAGGAUGACUGCCCUAUGGGUUGUAAACUUCUUUUAUAUGGGAAUAAAGUAUUCCACGUGUGGGAUUUUGUAUGUACCAUAUGAAUAAGGAUCGGCUAACUCCGUGCCAGCAGCCGCGGUAAUACGGAGGAUCCGAGCGUUAUCCGGAUUUAUUGGGUUUAAAGGGAGCGUAGGUGGAUUGUUAAGUCAGUUGUGAAAGUUUGCGGCUCAACCGUAAAAUUGCAGUUGAAACUGGCAGUCUUGAGUACAGUAGAGGUGGGCGGAAUUCGUGGUGUAGCGGUGAAAUGCUUAGAUAUCACGAAGAACUCCGAUUGCGAAGGCAGCUCACUAGACUGUCACUGACACUGAUGCUCGAAAG
rnacentral:rRNA from 1 species